AUCAGCAGCCCCGCGACAGGUUCCCCGUUAGGGGAUCAAAAGGGAAGUCGGGUGCGAUACCCGCGCUGCCCCUGCAACUGUAAGCGGUGAGCGGACCGGCCACAGCGCCAUUGGGGAUCAACUGUUCCCGAGAAGGCGGCCGGAAAGCACUGACCCGUGAGCCAGGAGACCUGCCUGCCGCAGUCGUUCUUCG
rnacentral:ncRNA from 20 species